CUUGAAUUCCUGUCCUAACUUCCUUCAGUGAUGAACAGCAAUGUGGAGAUGUGAUCCUUUCAACAAGAAGAAAAAAAAUGGAAAAUUGUCUGUUUUAACGUUUGGAUUUGAUGAAAAAUAUAUAAGCCUCUACUAAGAUGUUUGGGCCUCAUGGUAAUGUCUGAAGGAAGAACCCAGACCUGUCUGAUCAUAUCAUUCUGGUUAUCUCUGUGCAGCGUUUCUUGCUCCUGGAACUGGGCCGGGACCCUUCGGUGAUGAGUCAUACAUUCUACUGUAAGACACAGUAAACCAGAGGAUUUCUUCAUGGUCAGUUUUACUCACAAAGAAAGAGGAAGGUUUUAAGGACAUUUCUGCUUUAUUAUUGACUUUGGAACAGAGGAAUUCUAGGUUCUGUCGGCAGGAGGACAGAAGAUUUGCAUUGGUUGGUGUUAAUUCUUUUCUGGGCCCCAAUACUGUAUACUUAAAAAAAAAUACUGUAUACUUUGACCAACUCUUCUAUGUAUAAAGAAAAAGCUCUUCCCAAGGUAACAUUAAAAUAAGUAUCCAUUAAAAA